UUUCCGUAAGUGAACCUGCGGAAGGAUCAUUAUUGUAUAACCGAGGUGCGAGGGCUGUCGCUGACCCGAAAGGUCGUGCACGCCCGAGUGCCCUCACACACAUCCAUCUCACCCCUAUCUGCACCACCGCGUGGGUCCCCCUUUGGCUUGUUCGGAGGGGGGCUUACGUUUUCACACAAACUUUGUAUGCAGUGUAGAAUGUAUUUUUUGUUUUUGCGAUCACGCAAUCAAUACAACUUUCAACAACGGAUCUCUUGGCUCUC
rnacentral:misc_RNA from 1 species